rnacentral:rRNA from 1 species
AUGGAGAUUUUCAUUUCUGCGUUGAUGGGUGAACUCAUAUCAAGAUCCAUGAGUUCCAUCAUCAACAAAUACUCCAAGCCACCGGCGGAGGCCGUGGAGGCUGGCUUAGAGAGGAUUCUACUCAGGGGGCAGGUCAUCAUCGGCGAGGCCAUGGGGCGGCACAUCACAAACCACGGAAUGCUCCAGCAGCUUAGUAUGCUGAGGUAUGCCAUGUACCAAGGCUACUAUGUGCUCGACACCUUCAGAUGCCAAGCGUACCAACAAGAGGAGAAUAUUCAGGCUGUCAGUCAAUCUGGGGUCGUGUCCAAAUUUCGUUAUGCACAACGGCUCUGUCUCUCCAGCAGCAACAGCAAAAAAACAUCACAAGCGCUUGAAGAGGCUCUCGACGGUUUGAGAUCCAUGAUUCUUGAUGCCAGUGAGAUGGUGAGGUUCCUGACAACAUAUCCUCGCUUGCAUCGUCAACCUUACAGCAUGCAUCUCUUGCUGGACAAGUGCAUGUUUGCCCGCCAGAGGGAGACAGAAGUAGUUAUGAACUUCCUUCUGUGCACACAAUCUUGUACUAGUAGCUUUGAUGUCCUCCCAAUUGUUGGUCCGGAGAAUGUUGGAAAGAGCACUCUUGUCGGUCAUAUCUGCGAAGACGAAAGAGUACGUGAUCGUUUCCCCCAGAUUGUUUUUUUCAGGCAUGAUAAUUUCAGAGCUGAAGAUGUAGCCGCUUUGAGAGGCAGAUGUGCAGCAAGACAUGAGAAUAAUGGGAGAUUGCUGAUCAUUAUCGACGUAGUUGGGGAUCUUGACGAAGAUCUGUGGGAAAACCUGUGCUUUCUUUGCCGGCAGAGCACUACAUGUGGUAGUAAAAUCAUUAUCACAAGCCGGUCUGACAAGAUCACAAAGCUUGGAACAACACAGACUCUAGUACUGAAGCAUCUGUCUGAUGAGGCAUUCUGGUAUUUUUUUUAA